CGGAGUGUAGCACAGCCUGGUAGUGCACUGCCUUCGGGAGGCAGGGGUCGGAGGUUCGAAUCCUCUCACUCCGACCA
rnacentral:tRNA from 1 species